rnacentral:rRNA from 1 species
AGCGAACGCUGGCGGCAGGCUUAACACAUGCAAGUCGAACGGUCCUUCGGGAUAGUGGCGGACGGGUGAGUAACACGUGGGAACGUACCCUUAGGUUCGGAACAACACAGGGAAACUUGUGCUAAUACCGGAUAAGCCCUUCGGGGGAAAGAUUUAUCGCCUUUGGAGCGGCCCGCGUCUGAUUAACUUGUUGGUGAGGUAAUGGCUCACCAAGGCUACGAUUAGUAGCUGGUCCGAGAGGAUGGCCAGCCACACUGGGACUGAGACACGGCCCAGACUCCUACGGGAGGCAGCAGUGGGGAAUCUUGCGCAAUGGGCGAAAGCCUGACGCAGCCAUGCCGCGUGGAUGAUGAAGGUCUUAGGAUUGUAAAAUCCUUUCACCGGGGACGAUAAUGACGGUACCCGGAGAAGAAGCCCCGGCUAACUUCGUGCCAGCAGCCGCCGUAA